GACGAACGCUGGCGGCGUGCCUAAUACAUGCAAGUAGAACGCUGAAGGAGGAGCUUGCUUCUCUGGAUGAGUUGCUAACGGGUGAGUAACUCGUAGGUAACCUGCCUGGUAGCGGGGGAUAACUAUUGGAAACGAUAGCUAAUACCGCAUAACAGUAGAUAUCGCAUGAUAUCUACUUGAAAGGUGCAAUUGCAUCACUACCAGAUGGACCUGAGUUGUAUUAGCUAGUUGGUGAGGUAACGGCUCACCAAGGCGACGAUACAUAGGCGACCUGAGAGGGUGAACGGGCAAAACGGGGAUGGAGCAAGGGCCAGACUUCUAAGGGAGGGAGCAGUAGGGAAACUUUGGAAAAGGAGGGAAGGCUGGAUGAGGAAAGGCGGGGGAGUGAAGGAGGGUUUCGGAGUGUAAAGCGACGUUGGAAGAGGAGAAAGAGGGUGAGAGUGGAAAGUUCACACGGUGACGGUAUCUGAACAGAAAGGGACGGCUAACUACGUG
rnacentral:rRNA from 1 species